CAUGCAAGUCGAGGGGCAGCAUGGUCUUAGCUUGCUAAGGCUGAUGGCGACCGGCGCACGGGUGAGUAACACGUAUCCAACCUGCCGUCUACUCUUGGCCAGCCUUCUGAAAGGAAGAUUAAUCCAGGAUGGGGUCAUGAGUUCACAUGUCCGCAUGAUUAAAGGUAUUUUCCGGUAGACGAUGGGGAUGCGUUCCAUUAGAUAGUAGGCGGGGUAACGGCCCACCUAGUCAACGAUGGAUAGGGGUUCUGAGAGGAAGGUCCCCCACAUUGGAACUGAGACACGGUCCAAACUCCUACGGGAGGCAGCAGUGAGGAAUAUUGGUCAAUGGGCGAUGGCCUGAACCAGCCAAGUAGCGUGAAGGAUGACUGCCCUAUGGGUUGUAAACUUCUUUUAUAAAGGAAUAAAGUCGGGUAUGCAUACCCGUUUGCAUGUACUUUAUGAAUAAGGAUCGGCUAACUCCGUGCCAGCAGCCGCGGUAAUACGGAGGAUCCGAGCGUUAUCCGGAUUUAUUGGGUUUAAAGGGAGCGUAGAUGGAUGUUUAAGUCAGUUGUGAAAGUUUGCGGCUCAACCGUAAAAUUGCAGUUGAUACUGGAUGUCUUGAGUGCAGUUGAGGCAGGCGGAAUUCGUGGUGUAGCGGUGAAAUGCUUAGAUAUCACGAAGAACUCCGAUUGCGAAGGCAGCCUGCUAAGCUGCAACUGACAUUGAGGCUCGAAAGUGUGGGUAUCAAACAGGAUUAGAUACCCUGGUAGUCCACACGGUAAACGAUGAAUACUCGCUGUUUGCGAUAUACGGCAAGCGGCCAAGCGAAA
rnacentral:rRNA from 1 species